CUGAAUGUCAUUCAGAGUGAACUAUUUAAAAUAAAAGCCACUUUUUAGUGUCAUCAAACUUUGCUAACUUCUUUUCAUACCAUUGUACCUUACCUGUUGGACGAGGCCUUAGUGAAUCUAGAGCACGAGCAGCAGGUAUAGAUUAAAAGCACUAAAUGCUUCUAGAACUGAAGACAGAGUGGUACGGGAAAGAGGAAUGGCCCUGGGAGGCCUCUGGAGUCAAUUCUUACCCCUAACCCUUAUUAUCUGUGUGAGUUUGGGCAAAUCACUUGACGGUCUCUAUAAAGUGAGGGAGCUGAGGUAGGUGGCUUAUGAUUGUAUGGAUGGGAUGGGCUUGGCAGAUUUUGGAGGGCUUAAUGCCAGGAGCCUGAGGCAGUUCAGUGGUGGGUUCGUAGAAGAGUGAGCAUGCUAGGCCUUGUAUAUUUCUUAAAAAAAAGCAUCACCUACCUUUUACAACUUCAUCAUUACAGGAAUCACUUAUCUCUCUGUAAGAAUCAUUUACCAAAAAAAAAAAAAAAGAACCAUUUGCCAAGAGAUGACCAUAACAUUUGUUCAAAUUACAGGUUCCUAGGUAUAGUGUCUUUGCUGCAGCUGAUGCAUUCAGUUAUGGUACAGAUAUGGCUUCAACCAGAGGCAAAAGGUGGGGUGCCUUCUGCUGGUCUUCGAUAAAUGUGCCUGGGUUAUACUUAGUCUUUUUUUUUUAAAGGCUACAUUUAAGGAAUUUAGCACAUCUCUAUGAACUGUUGGUAUAGUAUUCUGUGAUAUUAUUAAAGCAUUAUUGUUAAUCGAUGCUCAAAUUUGUUUAAAAUAGGGAUCUUUUGGGGGGCAUUUGGAAGGACAUUUCAAACAGAUAAUCAGCCUCCUUUUUCUUUCUUUCUUUUUUCCUAAACUAAUACUUUCCACUAAAAACUCAAACAUUUUGAGAAUAUUGCCCGUACACUGAAGAUGAAGUUUUACAUUCAUGACAAGAAGCCUCACAAGAUAUGAUGCUCUUCUAUUCCUCACAAAAGAAAUCAGCACUUCCAUAUUUACUCAUGAGGAAACAUGCUUAGUGAGGUUAUAUAUUAUUUGUGUUCAUAGUUUUUAGAAGUUGAGAGAAACAUUAGAGAUCAUCUCCUUGUCCAAAUUCAUACCAUGGCAGAGACAGGAUUAAAACGUAAAUAAUAGGAAUCAGAUUUAGAAUGGGUCUUGGAGAGCAUAGUAUUAUAAAUUGAGAGCUG
rnacentral:lncRNA from 1 species